UACGGAGGAUCCAAGCGUUAUCCGGAAUCAUUGGGUUUAAAGGGUCCGUAGGCGGGCCUGUAAGUCAGUGGUGAAAUCCGGCGGCUUAACCGUCGAACUGCCAUUGAUACUGCAGGCCUUGAAUUAUUGGGAAGUAACUAGAAUAUGUAGUGUAGCGGUGAAAUGCUUAGAUAUUACAUGGAAUACCGAUUGCGAAGGCAGGUUACUAUCAAUACAUUGACGCUAAUGGACGAAAGCGUGGGGAGCGAACAGG
rnacentral:rRNA from 1 species